rnacentral:lncRNA from 1 species
CUUGCUUAAUUGUUGUAAAUGGUCCUCCAUUUGUCUGAUCUGUAAAUCACGAGAACGAACCUCGGCCACGAGAUUGUUUACUGUUGCAGUAACACAAUCUUUGUCUGUCAUAAGCAUAUCAUAUUUCAAUUUCAUUUUGUCAAGGUUCUUAUUCAAAGCGUCUAUGUGUAUACCUUUCUCAUUAAGUUCUGUCUUCAAUUGAUUGAUCUGACCUUAUAAGUUUGUUUCUUGUACAACAAGCAAGCUUUCGAUUUCCCAUUUUUUGGUCUCACGUUGCCUUAUUUUUUCCUCCAAUACACUUCCAAGCAGGGAAAGAGCUAUCGAGGGCGGAACUUGAAGGUGUUCUGGUUUUUGUUGAACCUUUUUUGUUUCAUGCCAAUGGGACCUUAUCCAAUUGGCAAUGGUGGGAAAACAAAGUUUGCCAUUUUGAUCCAUUUGUAAAGGCAAGUCACUUGGCAGUGGGGGUUUCGCAGUUGAGUGGCAAGGGCUACAGAACUUUUAUUUAUAGUUGAGCUCCGUAGAUUCAACAAUACAACAAUAUUAAAUUUUAUAUUUAUGGAACUUUAAAAUCAUGUAGUAGUUUAUUUAUGUUGAAAAUUUGAGAGUUAAUGAUAUUUGUGAAAAUUGUCAUUGUUGAGAAAUUUAGAUUCUUGGUGUUAUUUUGUUGGGUUGAAGUUAUUGAUGUUAGAUGUAUGUAUGUGUGUGUUGUAUGGUAGAUAUUGUAUAUGGUUGAUAUUUUAAGUUCUAUGGAAUCUGGCUCUUUUUGAAGUAAAUGAUUGAGGUCAAUUUGUUGAGUUGAAAUAUGUAGGAUAUGGCAUUUGAAUUUUAUGAUUCCUAUUUGUGGAGCAAGAUAAAUGUAUGAUUUGGUUAAGGUUGCUUGCCUUUGUAUGUGAUGUUUGAAAUGUGGUGCUAAUGAGGGCUAUGUUGGUUAGGUUCUUAUAUUGUAUGAAAUUGAAAUGUUUUGACUUGUUUUGAGGUGUAUUUGAUGACAUUUUUAGAGUGGUUAUAGGCUUGGUUUGGUAGCCAAGAUAGGUUUGAAAUUUGCCUUGUUUUGGAAGCAAAAAUUGGUGCACAUGGUCAGGGAUACAGGCUAUACAUGGUCUACCCUCGGUCCCAUACGGCCGUGUGUCCUAAUGAUUUUAGGUGCAGGGCACACACGGUCUAAGACACAACCAGCGACAUGGUCGUGUGACCCAAAAACAAAUACACACACGGGCAGUCACACGGCCAUGUGACCUUAAUUUGAAUAUACACAUGGGUGGGCAGACAGUCGUGUAUCUCGACUUUGAAUGUCCACACAGUCUAGGCUAUUACACACGGCCAUGUGUCCCUUGUUUUAAAAAUUUUCAUCUUUUUUCCUAACUUUUCCGUUUUGUUCCAAAUUGACCCUAGAAUGUUUCUAAUUUACUUUUAGGGCUCCGUAAACUCAGUUUAAGGCCUGUAAAUGUAUGUUUAUUGUGAAUUGAUUGUGAUUUGAUUAAUUGUAAUUAUAUUGAAUAAUUGUUUUUAAGUAGUGUUAAAUGUUUGAAAUGUUAUAGUAAUACUCCAUGACUUUAAUUCAGCGACAGACACUGGUUCAGGGCGUUAAGUUUAAAUUAUCUUUUAUAAAUUUUAUAUAAAUGCAUGAAAAAUACAAAAAGAAACACUCUAUAAUAAUAUUUAUUAAUCAUUAAAACUUAGUUUUUUAAUAUACUUUUCUUGAUCGAGUUAGUGUCGAGCUAACUCAUGAUACUGUCUAAAUUCAUGACGCCAAUUCAAUCAUACACUUAAAUAAUAGUAAAAAUGUUAUUAUUUAUGAAAAGAUCAAAAUAUCAAUGUUGAAUCCCAAAAUGAAAUCAGCAAUUAAGAUUUGAAAUAUAAGUAGAGAUGGUAAUGGAGUGGGGCAGAAUGGUUUUUUGUCCACCUGAACCGAUAUACCUCUAACAUAAUCCGACUUUGAUCCAACUCAAAAUUAAAUAUUAAUUUACUUAUCUUGAACCUUACUCGAAAAAUUAAAGUUAUACCCUAUUUCGAUCAAUAUACCAAUACUUUUAAUUGUUUUUAUAUGUUUUUAUUAAAAUAGAAUAAUAGUUUUAAAGUUUUUAACGACAACAUUACUUUUUUUUUGUAGUUAUAGUUAUGGUAGGGAAAAUAUUUUUAUAAUUAUCAUAUAUUAUAAUCUAAUAUUAUAUAUAAAUGUUUAUUUUGGUAAUUACGGGGCAAAUUUUUCUAAAUCGGAGAAAGAAUUAUAUGAAAUUGUGAUUCCACGUUAUCUGUAUCAUUUUCUAAUACGAAAAUGACAAAUCAGAAUUUAAGAUUUAAUCCAUGUACUUUAAAAGUUAAAAUUUCAAUUAUCCUACUUCUACGAUUUAAAAAUUCUAGUCCAAUUAUUAUUAUUUGUAAUUUUUUUGUCAAAAAAAUCAACUUAACAUCAUAUGAAAUGUUAUAUGAUGGCAGUCUAAUCAGCAUGCCAAAUUGGAAGAUUUUGAUGGAAAUUAUUAACAAUGUUAAAGAUUAGAAUGAAAAUUUUAAAUCAGAAAAGUAAUAUGACUAAAUUUUAAAUUUUAUCUAAGCCAAAGGGACUAGCAACAUAUUUUCACAAAAGAAAUUGAUAGACUAAUUAAUUUAGGUUUUAGACUAAGCAAAAUUGUCAUUUCCAACUAUAUUCAACUUGUAUAAAUACGGAAGCUAAUAACUUUUCAUGGAAUCUAAGGACAAAAAAUAAUUAACAUACUGCAUGUAAGAAAAAGAAGAAAUAAGCAAAUCAUAUAAAUUUUAUUAUCAUAUAUUUACAGUUCAAACCUCACAAUUUUCAGCCUUAAAACAUUACAUUGAUUAAACAUACAAUUAAAAAGUAUCAAGCUUUAAGAACAACCACACUUUUUUUUUUGGUGAAACUGAAGCCUCAAUUUUCAGCACCUACCACGGAUGGUUGAUUUUCUGCAUUCCCAAUAAGCAAUAUACUUGCAUCCUAGUUCUGCACAUUCAAUAAAAAUAUAUUUACAAGGCUUACUACAUUCAACACAUUCAGGAUAGUAAGGAAAGUUCUUGACAAAGUGAGAGGGUGUGGAUGGUCUCCCUCAUUGUAGGUGCUCCCGAGUUUGAUGAAUGGAUAUUUUCUAAGAACGCAAUCUACAUGAGCAGAAGUGUCACAAGUUUCACAAUGAUAAAACCAAUUCUUUGAAUCCCUUUUUUUCCUCACAAAUGUCACAAUAAUGAUAUUUUGUAUAAUCAUUAAUCUUGUGAUAAGUGAGGUUAAGAGGAUGAUCAUCGCAAUUGUGUCCGAUUCUAGUUGGUCGCAUAACACAAUGAAGGCAUAAACCAAAGUUACAAUCUUUACAACCAUAUGUGUUACUGAGAUCCGUCCCACAACCACUACACUGCUCCUCGAAAUGAUAAUAAUCAUAAUAGAAAAGAAGAGGGUGUUUAUGCCCUGGAAUUUUUAGAUCUUAUUGGAGAGUUGCACACCGAACGCACGUGUGAAUUCCACAUUCAUUACAUUUAUAAGAAAAUCCAUUAGAAAGGUAGCUGCAUUGAUCAGAUUCGAACAUGCAGUCUGAAGUAAGGAUGAAGGGUUUUGAUCCAGAAAAAAUAGAUGCAUAUAGUCUAUACCUUUUUUUCUUGGUAAAAAAAGGUCAUUGCGGUCCCAAUCAGAUAUACCUUUCUUUAUUGGGAUAAUAUAGUUUUUGGCCCUUAAACUUAAUAAUUAAAUUUUCUUUGAUACUUGUAUUUUUUUUACUUUCGUCUUUGAAUUUGAUAACUAAAUUCAUUUUGAUCCUUAAACUUGGUACUGGAGCAUUUUAUGAAUUUUAAUUAUUUAUUAAAUUAUUAUUGGUCCAACAGUUGUACUGAUCGAAUUGAGAAUCGGUGAUCUCGGUUAUUAAAACACUAAAUUUGACACUCUUAAAAUUAAUGUGUAGUUAAAUUUUAUUUUGACCCCCAAAAUGAAAAAAAAAUCAUUUCAGUCCUUUUAUAAAUAAAGAAAUUAUAAAUCAAUAUAUAGUAAAAUUUCUCUUUAGCCCCCUAAAAAUGAAAAAAAUUAUGUUUAAUUGCUUAAAAAUCAUGAAAUUAUAAAUUAAUACAUAAUAAACUUAUUUUUUAUCUAUGAAAAAAUUGUAAUUAAUUUCGCCCCUUGUUAAAAAAAUUUCUAGAUUCGCCCCUGCCAAAGUGAAUGUUUAGGGGUCAAAAAUUAUAUUAUCCCUUCUUUAUCUUUCAUUUUUAUUUUCCAUUUUUUUUUACAAUUUUUGGUAUUUAAUUAAGAGAAAAUUGGCCCUCAUUUUCAUCUCUUAUCUCAAGGUAUUCACGGUUAAAAAUUAAGAGAAUUAAGAGAAUUUUUGAGAGGUUAAAGCUAAAAUUCUUGCAUUAAAAUAAAUAUUAAACUUUUGAAAGGAUCAAAAAUGAAAAACUUUCAUUUAACAAAAACAAUUUAAAAAGAAUUAAAUUGAAUUUUUAAUAUUUUAGAAAGACUAAAAUUAAAUUGUAUCAUUUAAUCAAGGUUCAUAUUCUUCUUAUAAACCAACCCUUUAUUUAUUGAAAUAUAUAUUUGUUUCUCUGAAAAUAUUUCAUAAAAAAUCUUGUGAAACAAAUGGAUUGUAAACAUUUUUUUUAUAUCUAACUAUAUCCAACUUAUAUAAAUAUGGAAGGUAGCACAUAAGGACUAAUUAUUCAUGGAAUCUAAGGAUUUUUAUGAUUUUAGUUAGCAUGCAACAAAUUUAAUAUAUGAAAAUUAAAGAAGAUAUAAGUAAAUCAUAUCAAUUUUAUUCUCAUAAAUUUACAAUUCAAAUCUAAAUACAUUAUAUUGUUUAAACACAUAAUUAAUAAGUAGCAACCAUUAACAACAACCACACACUAUCUUAUUCUGAAAUUGAAGUCGCAAUUUUCAGUAUUUACCACCGAUAUCUGCAUUUCCAAUGAGCAAUAUAGUUACAUCCUAGUUCUGCACAUUCAAGAGAAAGAUCUUCACAGGGCUCACCACAUUUAGCACAUUCAGGAUAGUAAUGAAUCUUCUUGACAAAAGUGAGAGGGUGUUCAUGGUUUCCCUCAUUGUAGGUGCUCCCGAGUCUGAUGAAUGAGACAUAUAAUUAAAGUAACCAUAUAAUUAGACGUGAAUGAGACAUCUUUAUUAUAGGAAUGAUCCACAUUCAUUGUCCUGCAGUACAAACUGAAUCUACAAGCUAAUGAUAGAAACAUAAACCAAAAUAUAUAGUACAUUGUUUGAUUAAAAUUGAAAACAUGGUUCAUAUUUGUCCAUUGCAAUGUUCAGAUGUUCAAUAACAUGCAAAAGAUAUAUAUAUAGUCUAAUGACAGCUUCAAGUUUAUCUAAGCAAAUACACAUAUAUCACCCAAAACUUCCCACAGAAACUCAAAUUUAAGUACUAAUAAGUUCAUAAAACAAGUUAAACGAAAGACUACAUCAAGGGAAAAAGACAAUCAGGACAUGUAACUAUACCGAUACUCAUAUUUAAUCAAACUCACAAAGCGAUAACCGCGUGUCGUUUGUGCUUGAGGAAUGUCUGAAACUCUUUAUAACCACUCCUGUAAUGGUCCAGACUGAAAGUAAGAUGUCUUAUUACCUUUCUUUUCUCUUCAGACACAUCUAAGAUCAUGCUCCUUUGCUUAUCCACUUCCUUCUCAAGGUCCUUUAUCUUCAAUUUCAACUCAUCUUCUAGAUUCUUUGUUAGCUGCAUAUGUUCCUUGCUUAAUUGUUGUAAAUGGUCCUCCAUUUGUCUGAUCUGUAAAUCACGAGAACGAACCUCGGCCACGAGAUUGUUUACUGUUGCAGUAACACAAUCUUUGUCUUUCAUAAGCAUAUCAUAUUUCAAUUUCAUUUUGUCAAGGUUCUUAUUCAAAGCUUCUAUCUGUAUACCUUUCUCAUUAAGUUCUGUCUUCAAUUGAUUGAUCUGACCUUGUAAGUUGGUUUCUUGUACAGCAAGCAAGCUUUCGAUAACUGGUAAUGGCGACACACAAUCAAUGUGAAUAGCCAACUCACAAGGUGAACAACCAUACAAAUAUCCUCUUCCUUGAGUUGCUUGGCAUAUUUUGCAAGCACGCCGUUCACUAUUAAAUUGCAAAACAAGAGGAUGUUUGCGAUGACACGAAUGAUCCAUUUUGAGAGGAAGCUCAGCACACCUCUUAUGCAAUUUAAACCCACAAUCAAGAAAGAAGUAUGUAUACAUUGCUAAUGGUUCCCAGCACACAAAGCACUUACCCAGGUUUCCAUCAUCGUUUUUAGAGGAAAACGAUGGAUCCUCAAGGGCCACAUGCUCAAGCUCUUUCAAAUUUCUUUCAGCAAUAUUAAAUGUAAACAAAGCACAUUUAAUAUGAAAGUCCAAGCCACAAGAGCAAUGGUAAAUGAAUUUCUCACAUGCUUCGUUACAGAAAUCGCAAACGCACCAUGUGUAAGGAGUGUAAGGUGGAUUGUUGAAGUCAACCCCCAUGCAGCAGCCAAGGUGACCAUGCAAGGUGGCCAUGCAGGGAUCGUGCUUUAACAGCAAACCGAAACUGCAUUGUUUCAUUUGGUUACUCAAAUGAAUAUUUUGUAUUUUAGUUUGUUUUGAACUAAGUUGGUAACUGUAUUUUGAUGUAAUUAGGUGCUGAAUGACAAGUUUAGGUAGAAGUUUAUGUUUUCAAUCAAGUUUACCAAGUUACUAGGCAAUUUAGUGGUGUUAGGUAUGUUAUUAGGUGGCAACUUGUUUGUUUUGCUGUUGUUAUCUCAUAUAUGUAUUGGUAUUAUGGCUUGUAAAAAUGUUAAUGAAAAUUCAGCUCAUUUUCAUUCAAUUUCAUCUCUUUCUUUUCUGUUCUCCAUUGCAAAAUUUCUUUCUUCUUCUUCAAUAGUUUAUUCAGCAAGGCUCGACACUUGCUGUGCAAGCAAGCUGAAACCAUCUUGCUAUUACCUCUUGCACCAACAAUUGGUAUCUAGAGCCGUUGUCUUAGUGGACCUGUUGCUUCAAACCAAGGAACCUGAUGGCUUCUUCAGGAUUUUCACCAGCAACCCCACCAGUCUUCAAUGGAGAAAGCUUUCACAUAUGGCUGGUAAAGAUGAAGACUUACCUGCAGGCCUUUGAUCUGUGGAAAGUUGUUAACACAGAUGCUGAGCCAGCACCACUGAGGGCUAAUCCCACAGUAGCUCAGAUCAGACAACAUGCUGAUGAGAGGACCAAAAGGCACAAAGCCAUGUCCUGCAUUCAGAACUGUGUAUCAGAUGUCAUCUUUACCAAAAUUAUGGCCUGUGAGACUCCAAAACAGGCCUGGGACAAGCUUAAGGAGGAGUUUCAAGGCACUGAGAGGACAAGGCAACAACAGCUGUUGAAUUUGAGAAGGGAUUUCGAGAAUCUGAAGAUGAAGGAAGAAGAAACAGUGAAGCAGUAUUCAGAUAGAAUUAUGGCAGUGGUUAACAGUAUAAGGCUCCUAGGUGAGCACUUUGAUGAGGCAAGAAUUGUGGAGAAAGUCCUCUCCACUUUGCCUGAGAAAUAUGAAGCAAAGAUAUCCUCCCUAGAGGACUCAAGAGACCUUGCUAGCAUCUCUUUGACUGAGUUAAUCAACACCUUCUAUGCUCAGGAACAAAAGAGAGCUAGCAGAGCUGAAGAUCACCAAGAAGGUGCAUUUCAAGCCAAGACCAGAGAAGCCUCGAGCACCAAUGCUCAAAGUGGCAAAAAGCCUUGGAAAAGCAGGCCUAAGCCUGAUGCUGCAAGGAGCAAUGACCAGCCCUGCAGAUAUUGCAAGAAGCUAGGCCAUCCAGAAGACAGAUGUUAGUUCAGGCCAGAAGCAGUAUGCCAGCACUGCAAGAAGAAGGGCCAUGUUGAAAGGGUUUGCAAAAAUAGAACCAAGCCAAGGCAGAGCCAAUUUCAACAACCAAAGGUUGAAGCUCGAGUAGCUGAGGACAGUAGUGACCAAGAGGAGCAGGUCUUUGCUGUUUCUUGCUUAACUGCUGAGAAGAAAUCUUCAAAAGGUUGGCUAUUGGACAGUGGUUGCGCUAACCACAUGUCACCAGAUGCCUCCUUGUUUAAAACCUUGGAUAGAGUUGCAAAACCAAGGUCAAGGUUGGAAAUGGCCAGUUUAUAAAGGCUGAAGGAAGAGGAGAGGUGCUGAUAUGUACUCCUACAGGUAACAAGGUCAUACCAAAUGUGCUUUUGGUGCCUGAGAUUGACAGAAACCUUCUCAGCAUAGCCCAAUUGCUUGAGAAAGGUUAUUCUGUUGUAUUCAAGGAUAAACAGUGCCACAUUGCAGAUCUAAGUGGAUCAAGCCUUAUGACAGUCACAAUAACUGAUAAAUGCUUUGAGGUUCAUUGGUCAAAUGACUCAAAGUCAGCAUAUACAGCCUCUAUAGAUGACUCCAAACUCUGGCAUAGAAGGCUUGGACAUGCCAACUUCAGGUCAAUGGGUCGAAUGGCCAGUGAGGGCUUGGCUGAGAACUUCACCAACUCAGUGGAGUAUGAUGAUGUGUGUGAGGUCUGCCAGAUGGGGAAACAGGCAAGAUUGCCAUUUUCUACAAAUGCAGCAUGGAGAGCUACUGAAAGACUGCAGCUGGUGCACUCUGAUGUAUGUGGCCCGAUGAGGACUGAAUCACUCAGCAAAAACAGGUAUUUCAUCCUCUUCAUUGAUGAUUUUACAAGGUUUUGCUGGAUUUUCUUCUUAAAACAUAAGUCUGAGGUAGCUCAAGUGUUUGUGAAGUUUAAAACUGCUGUAGAAACAGAAACAGGUUGCAAGCUGAAAUCGAUAAGGUCAGACAAUGGCACUGAGUACACUUCAGCUCAGUUUCAAGCCAUUUGCAAGGAUGCUGGCAUCAAACACCAGCUUACAAAUGUCUACACACCUCAGCAGAAUGGGGUAUCUGAAAGAAAGAACAGAAGUCUGAUGGACAUGGCUAGGUGCCUGUUGUUUGAGAAGAAACUGCCCAAAGCCAUGUGGGCUGAGGCAAUGAACACUGCUGUUUACCUACAGAACAGACUUCCAACCAAAGCUCUUACUCACAAGACACCUUUUGAGGCAUGGUUUGGUUUCAAACCUUCAUUGGCUCAUCUAAAGGUGUUUGGUUGCUUGUGUUAUACACAGAUACCAACAGUAAAGAGGGAUAAGCUAUCAAAGAGAGCUCAGGCUGGCAUCCUAGUUGGCUAUAGCUUAGUCAAAAAAGGAUAUCGGAUCCUGGACCCCUUGACAAGUAAAAUUCAAGUGAGUAGGGAUGUGAUUUUUGAUGAAAAGGCAUGCUGGAAUUGGGAUAAGAAUUCACCAGAAGCUGAGGUAAAUGAAAUGGUGCCUAACCAAGCUGAACUUGAGCAACUUUGUCCUGAAGUGGACUUUGAUAAUGUGCCUGUAAGAGGCACAAGGCUCUUGGAUGAAAUUUAUGAAAGAGCACCGGUUGCCAAAGUUGAACCUACCUGUUUUGAAGAAGCUGAGACAGAUGAAGGUUGGAAGCAAGCAAUGGCAAAAGAGAUCAGCAUGAUUGAGAAGAAUCAGACUUGGGAACUGGUUGAAAAACCUGUCAACAGAAGGAUCAUUGGAGUAAAAUGGGUUUAUCGAGUCAAGCACAAUGCAGAUGGAAGCUUAAACAAACUGAAAGCUAGACUGGUUGUAAAAGGCUUCAGUCAAAAAUAUGGUUUGGACUACAUGGAAACAUUUGCUCCAGUAGCCAGACUUGAUACAAUCAGAUUACUUGUGGCUCUUGCUGCUCAAAACCAGUGGUCAAUUCACCAGAUGGAUGUAAAGUCUACAUUUCUCAAUGGCUUUCUGGAAGAGGAGAUAUAUAUUGAACAACCUCCAGGUUUUGUAAUGCCUAGUAGAGAACACUUGGUAUACAGGCUCAAAAAGGCCUUGUAUGGCCUAAAACAGGCUCAUAGAGCCUGGUAUGCUCGAAUUGAUUCAUACCUGAUCAGCUUAGGAUUCGAAAGAAGUUCUAGUGAACCAACUCUUUAUGUUAAGAAGAAUCAAGCAGAAACACAGCUUAUUGUGUCUCUUUAUGUGGAUGAUCUCCUUGUGACAGGAGGAGACAAGACUAUGUUAGAAGAUCUCAAAGGAAAAAUGAAGGAGAUGUUCGAGAUGUCAGAUUUGGGGUUGAUGACUUAUUUCCUUGGAAUGGAGAUACAACAAGCUGAUCAAGGGAUCUUUUUGGGACAAAAGGCAUUUGCUUUGAAAGUUUUAUCCAAGUUUUCAAUGCAAAAUUGCAAGCCAACAUGCACACCUAUGGCAGUUGGCAUAAAACUGUUGAGCCAAGAAGAACAUGAGCCUGUCAAUGAAUCAUUUUAUAGGAGCCUUGUUGGUUGUUUGCUGUAUUUAACAGCAACAAGACCUGACAUUCUGUUUGCUGUGAGCAUGCUCUCAAGGUUCAUGCACUGCUGUAACCAGCAACAUUACAAGGCUGGGAAAAGGGUGCUAAGAUACAUCAAAGGUACCUUAAACCAUGGAAUACAGUUUAGAAGGGCUGAAGAGUUGAAACUGAUUGGCUACACUGAUAGCGAUUGGGCUGGUUCAAAGGAUGACAUGAAGAGCACUUCUGGCUAUGCUUUUACACUUGGCUUAGCUAUGAUAUGUUGGAGCUCAAUAAAACAAACAAUGGUGGCUUAAUCGACAGCAGAAGCAGAGUAUGUAGCAGCUGCCAAUGCUGUUAAUCAAGCUAUGUGGCUGAGAAAAAUUUUGAGCGAUUUGAAUCUACAGCAGAAUGAAGCAACUGUGAUACAUUGUGACAACAAGUCAGCAGUUGCUAUUGCUAAAAAUCAUGUCUUCCAUGGCAGGACAAAACAUUUCAACAUUAAACUCCAUGUGAUAAGAGAAAUGGAACAAGCUCGAGAGAUCGAGCUAAUUCAUUGCAGCUUAGAAGGUCAGAUCGCCGAUAUCUUCACAAAAUCACUUGGUACAUCGAGAUUUCUAAACCUAAGGAAGCAACUAGGAGUCUGCUGCAUAGAAGCUGAGGAGGAGUGUUGAAGUCAACUCCCAUGCAGCAGCCAAGGUGACCAUGCAAGGUGGCCAUGCAGGGAUCGUGCUUUAACAGCAAACCGAAACUGCAUUGUUUCAUUUGGUUACUCAAAUGAACAUUUUGUAUUUUAGUUUGUUUUGAACUAAGUUGGUAACUGUAUUUUGAUGUAAUUAGGUGCUGAAUGACAAGUUUAGGUAGAAGUUUAUGUUUUCAAUCAAGUUUACCAAGUUACUAGGCAAUUUAGUGGUGUUAGGUAUGUUAUUAGGUGGCAACUUGUUUGUUUUGCUGUUGUUAUCUCAUAUAUGUAUUGGUAUUAUGGCUUGUAAAAAUGUUAAUGAAAAUUCAGCUCAUUUUCAUUCAAUUUCAUCUCUUUCUUUUCUGUUCUCCAUUGCAAAAUUUCUUUCUUCUUCUUCAAUAGUUUAUUCAGCAAGGCUCGACACUUGCUGUGCAAGCAAGCUGAAACCAUCUUGCUAUUACCUCUUGCACCAACAUGGAUUCUGCAGAAGCAGGAGAGGAUGGUGGCGAUGAAAAGGAUGAUUAAGCUCCAAAGGUGCCUCGGCACAUGUCUUGUGGAGGUAAAACCCACAGCACUCCACACAGCUAAAACAUGGAGCUGACACCUUCUCCCCACACCUUGAGCAAUCAACAACUCCAUUGCCAUUGCCAAGCAACUGCUCUUCAUUUAACAUCAACAGUGGAUGUUGAUGCUCAUAGUUCUUUAGCUCUUCCAUUUCUCCUUCCUCUCCGUCUCUUUCGAUGUGGUAGAGAAAGAAAAAUUGAAAUUGAAUAACUCAAAGAAAGCAGAAAAUUAGAAGGGAGAGGUUCCAAAUGUUUAUUUGUAGGAAUCUCUUUGAACUUGCUAUGGUACUUUGCUUCAACAGUGGGUUGCCUAUACCUAUAUAUGUUUGAUCUUCUUUAUAAUUACUAUGAAUGGGAUGCAAUGGGUUUGAGUGUACUCUAAGUAAAUUAUCAAUUUUUUUCCUUUAUUCUUUGCUUUGUGGAUUAACUAAUUUUGUGGAUUAGAUAACGAAUAUUCUGAUAUUGUUUGUGUGCCAAAAAAAACAAGAUGAUAUGAUGAAAGGUAUUUUUACAGGUUACGAAUUUUUCAACUGAGAAUGAUAUCAAACAAUCAAAUUAUUCUAAAAAAAUUGAAUUAAAUCAUUUAUCUAAUCGAAAAUUAAAAACCUAUUUAAUUUAUUCUGGUGAUUAGAAUAAAAAAAAUUUGAACAAAGCUAGAUAGAUUAAUUAUACAAUUACCGAGCCACCAAUAGGCUCUCUUAGGACAAUGUGUUACAGAAAUUACUCUAACUCCCUUGGUAUUUGCUCAACCACUUCAAUCCCAAUGGGGUCAUCGUUCAUUAAACUAACCAUAUAAUUAGAUGUGAAUGAGACAUCUUUAUUAUAGGAAUGAUCCACAUUCACUGUCCUGUAGUACAAACUGAAUCUACAAGCUAACGAUAGAAACAUAAACCAAAAUAUAUAGUACAUUGUUUGAUUAAAAUUGAAAACAUGGUUCAUAUUUGUCCAUUGCAAUGUUCAGAUGUUCAAUAACAUGCAAAAGAGAUAUAUAGUCUAAUGACAGCUUCAAGUUUAUCUAAGCAAAUACACAUAUAUCAACCAAAACUUCCCACAGAAACUCAAAUUUAAGUACUAAUAAGUUCAUAAAACAAGUUAAACGAAAGAUUACAUCAAGGGAAAAAGACAAUCCAGCCAAGUAACUAUACCGAUACUCAUAUUUAAUCGAACUCAUAAAGCGAUAACCGCUUGUCGUUUGUGCUUGAGGAAUGUCUGAAGCUCUUUAUAACCACUCCUGUAAUGGUCCAGACUGAAUGUAAGCUGUCUUAUUACCUCUCUUUUCUCUUCUGACACAUCUAAGAUCAUGUUCCUUUGCUUAUCCACUUCCUUCUCAAGGUCCUUUAUCUUCAAUUUCAACUCAUCUUCUAGAUUCUUUGUUAGCUGCAUAUGUUCCUUGCUUAAUUGUUGUAAAUAGUCCUCCAUUUGUCUGAUCUGUAAAUCACGAGAACGAACCUCGGCUACGAGAUUGUUUACUGUUGCAGUAACACAAUCUACGAGAUUAAUUCUAACAUUUUUGUGAGGCUAAACCAUAAUUUUACCAUAUAUUAACUUAAUAUUUUAUAAAAUUUAGGAGAUUAAAGCAACAAUUAGAAAGAUAUAAAUCCCAACGUGUUUAAGCACAUAUUUUUUCUUUAAUUUAAAAUUAUGAAAAAAUUAUAAAUAAAAGUUAAUUAUAUUAUACUCUAAAGUCUAUUCUUUGUCAUAAAGUAUUCAACUUUUGCAGCCGACAAUAUUAAGAAAAAAAAUUUGUUCCUCCAACAAUCACUUUCUUUUAUAAUUAAAAUUUGAAUUUUGAUUUUCAAAGCCCUUAAUAUUUCAAACAAGUUGGUGGAAAUUUCCAAAUCGUCCCUUUAUUAUAAAGAUUUGUUUGAUUUAGUCUCUAUAUUAUUAAAUGAAUUGAUUUAGUCCAUGUACUAUUAAAAAGUAUCAAAUAAGGGAAAAUUGGAAAAUACUUAAAUAUUUACUAUAUAAAAAAUGUCAUUUAUUGUUUCGUAUUUUUAAAUUUUUUACGGUUCUGUAAAUGAAAUCUUGUGUUUUGAAAAAAAAAUAUUUUCAAGACAUUUUUUAUAUUGUUAACUUUGUUACAAAUUAGACAGACUUAAAUUUUUUUGAUAGUAUAGAGACUAAAUUUAUUUAUUUAAUAAUAGAAAUUUUAAUUUGGUCCAGUCCCUAUAAUACAAGGAACUCACGGGACAAACACAAUAAAUUUGAUGCUAACCUAUGAAGUUUUGAAAAUUAAUGUAUGCAAUUAUAAAAUGAUACAUGCGUAGUUGACUAUGUCAAAAUGGGAAGUAAAUGGGAUAAAUCUCAAAAUUAUACAUACAUGAACUUUAUUUUGGUGCAAUUAUAGACGUGAAACGCUAUUGUGAUUCAAAUGUAUAUUUGAAACUUUAAUUUUGAUUUAAUCAUACACAUUUAAAGAAAUAAAGUCAAGUUUUAUUUUUAUAUUGUAUAAAAAUAAUAUUUAUGUAUGCAAUAUAUAAACAUAAAAUGAUGUUAUAUCAAUAAUCAUGUUAAUAAUUUAAAAGAAUAGGAUCAAAUUAAAAUUUCAUGUAUAUAAUUGCACAUUAAAUCAUAGUUCGUAUAUAAUUUUGAAAUUUAUCCAUAAAUAAAUUAGUUAAAUUUUUAAUUGGAUUUAACCUCUCUUUUGCACAUAUUAUAAUUUAUUCAUGGAGCUUCACAAAAAAGCAUAAUCGUAAUCAAAAUCAAGAUUAUGGAGUUUAAAAUGAUAAAGUUUUUUGAAAAUCGUAAUAUUUUAGAUUUAAAUUUCAUCAUUAGUAGGUUUGAUGUUUUUAGUCUAUUAGUUCAUGAUACUAACUUGAUUAGAAAUUUUCAGUUGGAAUAAUUUGUCCACUUCAAUUGUACAAACUAUUAAAAAAACCCAUAAAUAUAUAAAUAUAUAUAUAUAUAUUCAACCAUAAAUUUAUAUCGAUUCAUAGAUCAAUCGAUCCAACUUCUUAUUUCGAACUGAUACCUCAAUUAGAAGUGUCCAUGAGACUUGCAAUAUACAUGGGGCAUCUGCACAGCUCACUCCCGAUCAAGCAAGCAUCGAAUUCUUCGAAACCGUGCAGCAUUAGUAAGGAGACAUUUUUUCAAAGUGAGGCAUAAGAAAAUUCGGAUUCUUUGUAGUCCCUCAAAUCUCCGUGCAAGGAACCAUACAGGAUCAUGUUGGUUCCAAGAGAUCUUCCUUAGUUCCUUAUAUGCACUCUUAACAGUGAAGUCACCAUCAAAUGAUUGCGAAGUAGGUCCCACUUCCAUGAGUUGUCAUUCAUCAUAUAGUGCGCACCUUCAUGAAGCAGGGAAAGCGCUAUCGAGGGCGGAACUUGAAGGUGUUCUGGUUUUUGUUGAACCUUUUUUUGUUUCAUGUCAAUGGGACCUUAUCCAAUUGGCAAUGGUGGGAAAACAAAGUUUGCCAUUUUGAUCCAUUUGUAAAGGCAAGUGACUUGGCAGUGGGGGUUUCACAGUUGAGUGGCAAGGGCUAUGGAGGCGGAAGCUUCUUUUUGUCUGUUUUUUUUUAGUUUUAUGUAAUUUCGUUGAUAGGAUAGAAUGGUUAAAGUGAUAUGUUCAGGGUGAGAAUCCAACUUGAGUAACUGUUCACCUGCACUGAAUAACUUGUAUGAUGAAUGACGAAUGAUAUAAAUGAGGUGGGGAAGAAUUUUAUUUAUAGUAAAGCUCUAUAGAUCCAAGAUUGAAUUACAUUAUGAUUCGAAUUUAAUCUUAUUUAUGACAUUGAUCCCUAAAGAAUUUAAAUUUUCUAUUAUCUUAUCCUUGAGAUUAUAAAACUACACUAGUAAAAUUCAAAUUACCCAAGCAUCUACAACUGCACCAUGUUUCAAGUAGGAUGGGCAUUCAGAAUGUUUCAAAAAUAGGAUCAAUCUCGAUAGCUUAAGCAAGCCUAAUUUAAUCAAAUGAUCUCUUUAAGUUAUUAUGUGCACAUUGAAUUUUAUUAUAAUAAAACAUAAAUUAAGUCAAUUAUAUUUUUAUAAUAAAAAUAGAUAGUGGAGAAGUGAACAAAGAAAGAAGAAUAAAAACAAAACAUUAUUUCUUCUUUAUGGUCUUGCAUGCCGAAAUGGUGAGGGAAGAAAAGGGAUUUUCGUCUAUUGUUGUUUAAGUUUGGAAGCUCAAUUUGGUUGGUAUGUUUUGUUCUUUUUUAUUAAAUUUUAUAUUUUUGGAAUCUUAAAAUCAUGUAGUAGUUUAUUCAUGUUGAAAAUUUGAGAAUUAAUGAUACUUGUGAAAAUUGUCAUCGUUGAGAUUCAAUUUCUUAGUGUUAUUUUGUUGGGUUGAAGUUAUUGAUGUAUGUAUGUUUAGUAUGGUAGAUAUUGUAUAUGGUUGAUAUUUUAAGUUGUAUGGAAUUUGGCUCUUUUGAAAGUAAAUGAUUCAGUUCAAUUUGUUGACUUGAAAUAUGUAGGAUAUGGCAUUUGAAAUUUAUGAUUCCUAAUUGUGGAGCAAGAUAAAUGUAUGUAUGACUUGAUCAAGGUUGAAUGUCUUUGUAUGUGAGUGUUUGAAAUGUGGUGCCAACGAGGGCUAUAUUGGUUAGGCUCUUAGAUUGUAUGGAAUUGACAUGUUUUGAGAUGUAUUUGAUGACAUUUAUAGUUUGGUUAUAGGCUUGGUUCGGUAGCCAAGAUAGGUGUGAAAAUUGCCUUGUUUUGGAAGCAAAAAUUGGUGUACAUUGCCAGGGACACUGGCUGUACACGGCCUACCCACAUGGUCGUGUGUCUUAAUGAUUUUAGGUGCAGGUCAUACACGGUCUAAGACACAGCUAGUGACAUGGUCGUGUGACCCAAUAUCAAAUGCACACAUGGGCAGGCGCACGGCCGUGUGACCUUAAUUCAAAUAUACACACGGGCGGACACACGGUCGUGUGUCUCGACUUCAAAUGUCCACACAGUCUGGGCUGUGACACAUGGCCGUGUGUCCCUUAUUUUCAAAAUUUUCAUCUUUUUCCUAACUUUUCUGUUUUGUUUCAAAUUGGCCCCAGAAUGUUUCCAAUUUAUUUUUAGGACUCCGUAAACUCAGUUCAAGGCCCAUAAGUGUAUGUUUAUUGUGAAUUGAUUGUGAAUUGAUUAAUUGUAAUUAUAAUGAAUAAUUGUUUUUAAGUAGUGUUAAAUGUUUGAAAUGUUAUCGUACUAUUCCGUGACUCCAAUCCGGUGACAGACACUGGUUUCUUAAGUUUAAAUUGUCUUUUAUAAAUUUUAGAUAAAUGCAUGAAAAAUACAAAAGCACUCUAUAGUAAUAUUUAUUAAUCAUUAAAACUUGAUUUUUGAAUACUUUUCUUGAUCGAGUUAGUGUUGAGCUAAGUCAUGAUACUAUCUAAAUUCAUUAUGCCAAUUCAACCAUACACUUAAAUAAUAGUAUAAAUGUUAUUGUUUAUGAAAAGAUCAAAAUAUCAAUGUUGAAUCCCAAAAUGAAAUCAACGGUUAAGAUUUGAAAUAUAAGUAGAGAUGGUAAUAGAGUGGGGCAGAAUGGUUUUUUGUCCACCUGACUUGAUACAUCUCUAACAUAAUCUGACUUUGAUCCAACUCAAAAUUAAAUAUUAAUUUACUUAUCUUGAACCUAACUCGAAAAAUCAAAGUUAUACCCAAUUUCGAACGAUAUACCACUACUUUUAAUUGUUUUUAUAUAUUUUUAUUAAAAUAGAGUAAAAGUUUUAAAGUUUUUAAUGAUAACAUUACUUUUUUUUGUAGUUAUAGUUAUGCUAGGGAAAAUAAUUUUAUAAAUUGUUAUUAUCAUAUAUUAUAAUCUAAUAUUAUAUAUAAAUGGUUAUUUUGGUAAUUACGGGGCAAAUUUUUCUAAAUCGGAGAAAGAAUUGUAUGAAAUUGUGAUUCUACCUCAUCUGUAUCCUUUUCUAAUACGAAAAUGACAAAUCAGAAUUUAAGAUCUAAUCCAUGUACUUUAAAAGUUAAAAUUUCAAUUAUCCUACUUCAACAAUUUAAAAAUUCUAGUUCAAUUAUUAUUAUUUGUAAUUUUUUUUGUCAAAAAAAAAUUAAACUUAACAUGUUUAUUUUUUUUAUCAAUCAUAUGAAAUAUUAUAUGAUGGCAAUCUAAUUAACAUGCCAAAUUGGAAAAUUUUGAUGGAAAUUAUUAACAAUAUUAAAGAUUGGAAUGAAAUUUUUAAAUCAGAAAAGUAAAAGAACCAAAUCUCAAAUAUUAUCUAAGUCAAAGGACUAACAACAUAUUUUCACAAAAGAAAUUGAUAGACUAAUUUAGGUUUUAGACUAAGCAAAUUUUACAUAUCCAACUAUAUUCAACUUGUAUAAAUAUGGAAGCUAGCAUAUAAGGAUAAUAAUUUUUCAUGGAAUCUAAGGACAAAAAAAAAUUAACAUUCUAGCAUGUAAGAAAAAGAAAUAAGCAAAUCAUAUAAAUUUUAUUACCAUAUAUUUACGGUUCAAACCUCACCAUUUUCAACCUAAAAACAUUACAUUGUUUAAACACACAAUUAAAAAGCUAAAUAAAAGUAGCAAUCAUUAACAACAACACACUGUUCUUUUGUGAAACUGAAGCAACAAUUGUCAGCAUUUAUCACAGCAUCGCUGAUUUUCUACAUUUCCAAUGAGCAAUAUAGUUGCAUCCUGGUUCUGCACAUUCAAGAGAAAGAUCUUCACAACGCUCACCACAUUCAAUACAUUCAGGGUAGUAAGGAAAUUUCUUGACAAAAGUGAGAGGGUGUGGAUGUUCUCCUUCAUUGUAGAUGCUCCCGAGUUUGAUCAAUGGAUAUUCUCCAAGAACGCAAUCCACGUGAGCAGAAGUGUCACAAGUUUCACAAUAGUAAAACCAGUUCUUUGGAUCCCUUUCUUUCUCACAAAUGUCACAAUAAUGAUAUUUUGCAUAAUCAUUAAUCUUGUCAUAAGUGAGUGCAAGAAGAUGUUUAUCGCAUUUGUGUCUAACUCUAAUUGGUCGCAGAACACACCAUGGGCAUAAAUGAAUAUUACAAUCCUUACAACGAAAAGGGCAAACGACAUCCUUCCCACAAGCACUACACUGCCCCUGAUAAUUAUAAUAGAGAAGAAGAGGGUGUUUAUGCCAUGGAAUUUUUACAACAUCUUGGAGACUUAGAGCAAAACAUCGAAGGCAUAUCGGACUUCCACAUUCAUUACAUUUAUAAGAAAAUCCAUUAGAAAGGUACAUGCAUAGACCACAUUUGAACAUGCAGGCUGAAGUAAGGAUUAAGGGUUUUAAUCCAGAAUAAAAUUCCGUUUCUCCACAAGCAUGUUUCGAAAAAAGCUUCAUCUUAGGCAAUUCAGCACAAGAUUUAUGAAGAAAGAAAUCACAUCGCGAGCAAUGGUAGAACUUAGCGGAGAUCAAUAACAAGCACCCAUCACAACAUUUAUCACCAUGCUCUCUGAUGUUGUCACUUAACAUCAAGUAGUGCAUAUGCUCGCAAUGUUCUAUGAGUGUGGCUUCUCCAGCAUCAUUCGUCUCAAGAACCUCAGUGAUGGAGUUAACAGGUAUAUCAAGAGACUUGUCAGCUUCAUUUUCCUGUGAUACUAUGCAAUACAACUGCUCUUCUUUCAAUGCACAAUCCACAUGUAAUAUAACACUGCAAUCUGCACAGAAGUAACUACCGUGCUCUGUAUGGACAACUUCAUGGCACCAUAUGCAAUUCAAACUUUCAAAAUAUUCCUUGCGAAUGAAAUACGUGUGAAAAACACGAUGAACAUGGAACGCGUGUUCGAUAAUGCGUGGCAAUGAAAUGCAUUUUUUAUGUACCAUAAUACUGCAUGUACCACAUGUAUAGGCAACAUGAUGUCCUUCAGUGCCACAAGCAUCACAAAUGAAUGGAAUUUGUCUCCAAAACAAGGUGAAUGGGUGUUGAUGACUUUUAUCUUUGAUAACUGGUAAUGGCGACGCACAUUCAAUGUGAAUAGCCAACUCACAAGGUGAACAACCAUACACAAAUCCUCUUUGUUGAGUUACUUGGCACACUUUGCAAGCAAGCCGUUCACUAUUAAAUUGCAAAACAAGAGGAUGUUUGCGAUGGCACAAAAGAUCCAUUUUGAGAGGAAGCUCAGCACACCUCUUAUGCAAAUUAAACCCACAAUCAAGAGAGAAGUAUGUAUACAUUGCUAAUGGUUCCCAACACCCAAAGCACUCACCCAGGUUUCCACCAUCGUUUUUAGAGGAAAACGAUGGAUCCUCAAGGGCAACAUGCUCAAGCUCUUUCAAAUUACUUUCAGCAAUGUUAAAUGUUAACAAAGCACAUUUAAUAUGAAAGUACAAGCCACAAGAGCAAUGGUAAAUGAAUUUCUCACAUGUUUCAUCACAUAAAUCACAAACGCACCUUGUGUAAGAAGAUGGUGGAUUCUGCAAAAGCACGAGAGGAUGGUGGCGAUGAAAAGGAUGAUUAAGCUCUAAAGGUGCCUCGGCACAUGUCUUGUGGAGGUAAAACCCACAGCACUCCACGCAGCUAAAACAUGGAGCUGACACCUUCUCCCCACACCUUGAGCAAUCAACAACUCCAUUGCCAUUGCCAAGCAACUGCUCUUCAUUUAACAUUAUUGGAAAUUGGCCAACCAUGCUGCUGUUACAUUUUGUGGUUGAAGUGCAUGCAGCUUGAUGACAUGCUGCAGCACAUAUGCUUGCUGUAACAGCAAGGUUUCUGAUGAAGUUGGUACAGCAUACAGCAAACUCAACAGCAUGCAGGCCAUCAAGACCAAGUCAUGCAGGAGCUGCUGGAACGAGCUGAACUAUUCCUAUUUUGUUCAACUUGUAAUCUUAAGUUAAUGUAAUGUACUUUAGUUCAUUUAGAACUAUGUUAGGUUUAUGAUUGAUGUAUUUUGAUGACAAUUAAGCUGUUAAGUCAGCUUUGUUUAAGUGUGCAAGCUUAGUUUUUCAAGUUUCAAUGUAUUAGUGGUAGUAGGUGAUGAUUAGGUAUCAUUAUGCAGAUUUUGACAAGCAAAUUGCUUGGUUUUAUGUAUUGGCAUUAUGCCAUUGUUCAACUAAUGAAUAGAAUCAGUUUUUGUUCAUCAUUUUUCCUCUCCAUUCUCUUAGCUUUUUCUUUCUUUCUUCUGGCUUGAAUUUCUCUUGUUUGCUCAGCAAGUCUCGAGACUUGGUUGACAAGAUAUUGCUGAGGCUGCUUGAUUCUGUUAUUGCACCAACAAUUGGUAUCUAGAGCCUGUUUCUUAAGGGAUCUGUUACUCAAUUCCAUGGCUUCAUCAAGCUUUUCACCAGCUGCACCUCAAGUCUUCAAUGGAGAAGGCUAUCACAUAUGGGUGGUCAAAAUGAAGACCUACCUGCAGGCUUUCGAUCUGUGGGAGGUGGUCAACUUUGAUGUUGAACCAGAGCCACUUAGAGCUAAUCCAACAGUGGCUCAGAUCAGGCAGCAUGCUGAUGAAAGGACCAAGAGGCACAAAGCUAUGUCUUGCAUCCAAAACUCAGUGUCUGAUGUGAUUUUCACAAGGAUUAUGGCCUGUGAAUCACCAAAACAGGCCUGGGAUAAGUUGCAGGAAGAGUUUCAAGGGACAGAGAGGACAAGGCAGCAACAGUUGUUAAACUUGAGGAGAGAUUUCGAGAAUUUGAAGAUGAAGGAAGAAGAAACUGUCAAGCAAUAUUCUGACAGGAUUAUGGCUGUGGUUAACAGCAUCAGGCUCCUUGGAGAGCAGUUCAAUGAAGCUAGGAUAGUGGAGAAGGUUAUAGCAACUCUGCCUGAGAGGUAUGAGGCAAAAAUCUCAUCUCUCGAGGACUCAAGGGAUCUGUCCACCAUCUCCCUGACAGAGUUGAUCAAUGCUCUAUAUGCUCAAGAGCAGAGGAGAGCAAGCAGACUGGAGGAGCACCAAGAAGGUGCCUUUCAGGCAAGAGCAAAUACUGCCUACAAAGGCAAGAAGGCCUGGAGAGACAAGCCAAAGAAUGAUGCUGCAAGGAGAGAAGGUCAGACUUGCAAGCACUGUAGAAAGGCUGGUCAUUCAGAAGAAAAAUGCUGGUUCAAUCCAGAUGCUGUAUGUCAGCAUUGUAAGAAGAAGGGUCAUGUUGAGAGAGUCUGCAAGAGUAAGACCAAAUCGAGGCAGAAUCAGUUUCAACAGAUGAAAGCUGAGGCUCGAGUAGCAAAGGAGGACAGUGACCAAGAGGAGCAAGUCUUUGCUGUGUCAUGCUCAGCUGCUCAGGAAAGGUCCUCAUCUGGUUGGCUCCUAGACAGUGGAUGCACCAACCACAUGACACCUGAUGCCGCAAUCUUCAAGUCUUUAGACAGAAGCUGCAGAACUAAAGUCAAGAUAGGAAAUGGUCAUUUUAUCCAAGCUGAAGGCAAGGGUGAUGUGCUGAUAUGCACACUUACAGGUACCAAAGUGAUUUCAAAUGUGCUGUUGGUGCCUGAAAUUGACAGAAACCUGCUCAGCAUAGCUCAGUUGCUGGAAAAAGGUUAUUCAGUUGUGUUUAAAGACCACCAGUGCCAAAUCAGUGAUCCAAGUGGAUCCAAACUGAUGGCAGUCCCUAUGGCUGAUAAGAGCUUUGUGGUUGACUGGACAAAAAAGUCAGACAUUGCCUACACAGCCACUUCAGAUGAAUCCAAGCUGUGGCAUCAAAGAUUGGGACAUGCCAACUUCAGAUCGAUGGCUCGAAUGGUCAGAGAGGACCUGGCUGAAAAUUUCAUCAACUCAGUGGACCAUGAUGAUGUAUGUGAUGUAUGUCAGCUAGGAAAGCAGGCCAGACUCCCAUUUCCCUCGAAUCAAGCCUGGAGAGCCUCUGAAAAACUCCAACUGGUGCAUACUGAUGUGUGUGGCCCUAUGAAGACUGAGUCAUUAAGUGGAAACAGGUAUUUCAUACUGUUCAUUGAUGAUUUCUCGAGAUAUUGCUGGAUUUACUUUUUAAAACAGAAAUCAGAAGUGGCCUCAGUGUUUUGGAAGUUCAAGACUGCUUCUGAGACUGAAACAGGCUGCAAGCUGAAGACCAUAAGGUCUGAUAAUGGGACUGAGUACACCUCAGCUCAGUUCCAAGCCUUCUGUGAUAAGGCAGGCAUCAAACAUCAACUUACCAACACAUAUACACCUCAGCAGAAUGGGGUAAGUGAAAGGAAGAAUAGGAGUUUGAUGGAUAUGGCCAGGUGCUUGAUGAUUCAGAAGAAUCUGCCUAAAGCACUAUGGGCAGAAGCAGUUAACACUGCAACAUACAUUCAAAAUAGACUUCCAACCAAGGCUUUGGAUCAAAAGACCCCAUUCGAGGCCUGGUUUAGUUUCAAGCCAUCACUGGCUCAUCUGAAGGUCUUUGGAUGCAUCUGUUAUGCACAUGUACCUGCUGUUAAAAGGGACAAAUUGUCUGAAAGGGCUCGACCUGGUGUUUUGGUGGGGUAUAGCACUGUUAAGAAGGGCUAUAGGAUUUUAGAUCCUUCAACAAACAAAGUGUCAAUAAGCAGGGAUGUGGUAUUUGAUGAGAGGUCAUGUUGGAACUGGGAAAGACAUGAACCUGAAGAAGUUUCUGAAGAACUUGCAGUAGACCAAGCUGAGCCAGACCAAAAUGUCCCUGAAAUGGAUAUAGAUGAUGAACCAGUCAGAGGAACAAGGUCAUUGACUGAGGUUUAUGAAAGGGCUCAUGUAGCCAUAACUGAGCCAAGCAACUUUGAAGAGGCUGAGGCUCAACAAGGGUGGAAGCAGGCAAUGGCUGAGGAGAUCAGCAUGAUUGAGAAGAACCAGACCUGGAAAUUGGUUGAAAGGCCAGUCAAAAGGAAGGUGAUUGGGGUGAAAUGGGUGUACAAAGCCAAGCAGAAUGCUGAUGGUACCUUGAACAAGUUAAAAGCAAGGCUAGUGGUCAAGGGGUUCAGUCAAAGGUAUGGCUUGGACUAUUUGGAGACCUUUGCACCAGUGGCCAGGCUCGACACCAUCAGACUGCUGAUUGCCUUAGCUGCACAGCUCGAAUGGAAGAUUCAUCAACUUGAUGUGAAAUCAGCCUUUCUGAAUGGUUUCUUAGAUGAAGACAUCUAUGUUGAACAACCACAAGGGUUUGAAAUAGCUGGCAGAGAGCAUAUGGUCUACAAAUUGAAGAAGGCCCUAUAUGGCUUAAAACAGGCUCCAAGGGCCUGGUACAGCAGAAUCGAUGGCUACUUGACUGAUCUGGGAUUCAAUCGAAGCAAGAGUGAGCCAACACUAUAUGUCAAGAAGCAAGGGACACAAACACAACUCAUUGUGUCCCUAUAUGUUGAUGACCUGCUGGUGACAGGAGGAGAUCAAGCAGUGCUGGUUAAUUUCAAGACCAAGAUGCAAGAAGUGUUUGAAAUGUCUGAUCUUGGGGAGAUGUCCUAUUUUCUUGGAAUGGAGGUGACUCAAGCACAGAAUGGGAUAUUUUUAAGUCAGAAGAGCUUUGCCACAAAGAUUCUGACCAAGUUCUCCAUGCAAAACAGCAAACCAACUAAAACACCUGUUGCUGUUGGAGAAAAACUAUCGAGCCAAGGAGAUUUUGAGAAGGUAUGUGAAACUACCUACAGGAGUCUAGUUGGUUGUUUGCUAUACUUGACUGCCACUAGACCAGACAUAAUGUAUGCUGUAGGAUUGCUCUCAAGGUUCUUGCAUUGUUGCAAUGAGAAGCAUUUCCAGGCUGCCAAGAGAGUGCUCAGAUAUGUCAAAGGCACUUUGGACUAUGGCUUAAGGUACAGCAGGAAAGGAAAUCUAAAUCUAGUUGGGUACACUGAUAGUGACUGGGCUGGAUCAAUAGAUGACAUGAAAAGCACCUCAGGGUAUGCUUUUAACCUUGGUUCAGCCAUGUUCUGCUGGAGCUCUAAGAAGCAAAGUCUGGUGGCACAAUCUACUGCUGAAGCAGAGUAUGUGGCAGCAGCAAGUGCUGUCAACCAAGCCAUUUGGCUUAGGAAAAUCCUGGCUGAUUUGAAUAUGGAUCAAAUGAAAGCAACAGAGAUCUUCUGUGACAAUCAAUCUGCAGUUGCAAUUGCUAAAAAUCCAGUGUUCCAUGGUAGAACAAAACAUUUCAGCAUCAAGUUACAUGUUGUUCGAGAAAUGGAGCAAGCUCAGGAAAUAAAGCUGAUCCACUGUAAUUCAGAGGAUCAACUUGCUGACAUUUUAACCAAAGCUCUUAGUGUCACAAGGUUUGAAUAUCUAAGAAAGAUGCUAGGUGUUUGCUCCAUGCAAACCAAGGAGGAGUGAUGAAGUUGGUACAGCAUGCAGCAAACUCAACAGCAUGCAGGCCAUCAAGACCAAGUCAUGCAGGAGCUGCUGGAACGAGCUGAACUAUUCCUAUUUUGUUCAACUUGUAAUCUUAAGUUAAUGUAAUGUACUUUAGUUCAUUUAGAACUAUGUUAGGUUUAUGAUUGAUGUAUUUUGAUGACAAUUAAGCUAUUAAGUCAGCUUUGUUUAAGUGUGCAAGCUUAGUUUUUCAAGUUUCAAUGUAUUAGUGGUAGUAGGUGAUGAUUAGGUAUCAUUAUGCAGAUUUUGACAAGCAAAUUGCUUGGUUUUAUGUAUUGGCAUUAUGCCAUUGUUCAACUAAUGAAUAGAAUCAGUUUUUGUUCAUCAUUUUUCCUCUCCAUUCUCUUAGCUUUUUCUUUCUUUCUUCUGGCUUGAAUUUCUCUUGUUUGCUCAGCAAGUCUCGAGACUUGGUUGACAAGAUAUUGCUGAGGCUGCUUGAUUCUGUUAUUGCACCAACAGUUUCUCUUUAGUUUCAUUCUAAUUAAUCUAGUUUAAAAUGGACAAGUUGAUGACAACUUGAUGCAUUAGGUGUUGAAUGACUAGUUUAGGUGGCUUGUUUAUGUGUACAAGCAAUGUUUUAAUAGUCCCAAUGCUGAUUAGUGGAGUUAGGUAGUUGAUUAGGUGAUUACUUGUUUGUUUUACUUAUUGACUGAUAUAUGUAAUGGCUUAAUGCCUUGUUGUAAUGCUAAUGAAAGAUAUCAGCUCUUUUUCAUUCAAUCUUCUUCUCUCUUUCUGUUUUUUCACUUGCUAGUUUCAUCUUUCUGUUUUCUGCUUCCGAGCUUGCUUCUUCACCAAGGCUUGAGACUUACUACUCAAGCAAGACUUGAAACAGCUUGUUGCUGCCUCUUGCACCAAUAAUUGGUAUCAUGAGCCUAUGUCUUACGGGACCAUUGAUUUUGCUUCCCCUGCUUGUUAAAAAGAAAGAAGCUGUCAAAGCGCAAGCAAGUCAUUAAGGACUGCUUGUAGAGAAGAUAAUAUCGGCUCAAACUUAUAAGAUCCCCAAACUAGCUUGAAUAAGCUGAAGGAGGAGUUUAAAGGAAAGGUGUGAGCUUUCCAAAUGUGCAAGCUUAGCAAGAUGUCAAAGCUGCAAGCUUAGCAAAGUGCGAGCCUGAUGAAGACACCUGUUGAAGACAAUAUGCAAAGAUGUGAGUCUGUCAAAGGUGUGAGCUCAGCAACAUGUGGAAGCUCAAUGCGUGUUGUAUAGUUGCAAGCCUCUUGAAGACAGUAAGCAAAGUGUGAGCCUGUCGAAUUGCAAGCCAAAAUGGCAGAAUGAAGGCAAGCAACUAUACUCACGAACUGUUUGUGCAAGAAGAAAAUGAAUUGGUCAGCUUGAAUCAAAGCAUCUAAGAGCUGCCAAGUUCAAAAAACUUGAUGAAUGACUGGUAUUUGCAGCAUGGAGUCCAAGGAGGAGUAUUGGAAAUUGGCCAACCAUGCUGCUGUUACAUUUUGUGGUUGAAGUGCAUGCAGCUUGAUGACAUGCUGCAGCACAUAUGCUUGCUGUAACAGCAAGGUUUCUCUUUAGUUUCAUUCUAAUUAAUCUAGUUUAAAAUGGACAAGUUGAUGACAACUUGAUGCAUUAGGUGUUGAAUGACUAGUUUAGGUGGCUUGUUUAUGUGUACAAGCAAUGUUUUAAUAGUCCCAAUGCUGAUUAGUGGGGUUAGUUGACUAUUUGGUGAUGUAUUUGACUAUAAAUGUAUGUUUUUUCUAGUUGAAUGAAUGAGCUGAAUGAGCUAUCAGCCAUUAGCUCCCUUGCUGCACAUUUGUGAGCAAGUAAAAAUGCUUCUUGCACCUUGCUUCAUGUUCUGUGCUCUUGUUCUCUCUUUUGUUGCUGCCUCUUGCACCAACAAACAUCAACAGUGGAUGUUGAUGCCCAUAGUUCUUUAGCUCUUCCAUUUCUCCUUUCUCUCUGUCUCUUUCGAUGUGGUAGAGAAAGAAAAAUUGAAAUUGAAUAACUCAAAGAAAGCAGAAAAUUAGAAGGGAGAGAUUCCAAAUGUUUAUUUGUAGGAGUCUGUUUGAACUUGCUAUGCUACUUUGCUUCAACAGUGGGUUGCCUAUACCUAUAUAUGUUUGAUCUUCUUUAUAAUUUCCAUGAAUGGGAUGCAAUGGGUUUGAGUGUACUCUAAGUAAAUUAUCAUUUUUUUUCCUUUAUUCUUUGCUUUGUGGAUUAGCUAAUUUUGUGGAUUAGAUAAUGAAUAUUCUGAUAUUGUUUGUGUGUAAAAAAAAAUACGAUAUCAUGAUGAAAGGUAAAGGUAUUUUUACAAGUUACGAAUUUUUCAAUUGAGAAUGAUAUCAAACAAUCAAAUUAUUCUAAAAAAAUUGAAUUAAAUCAUUUAUCUAAUCGAAAAUUAAAAACCUAUUUAAUUUAUUCUGGUGAGAAUAAAAAAAUUUGAACAAAGCUAGAUAGAUUAAUUAUACAAUUACCGAGCCACCAAUCGGCUCUCUUAGGAUAAUCUGUUACAGAAAUUACUCUAACUCCCUUGGUAUUUGCUCAACCACUUCAAUCCCAAUGGGGUCAUCGUUCAUUAAAGUAACCAUAUAAGUAGAUGUGAAUGAGACAUCUUUAUUGUAGGAAUGAUCCAUAUUCACUGUCCUGCAGUACAAACUGAAUCUACAAGCUAAUGAUAGAAACAUAAACCAAAAUAUAUAGUACAUUGUUUGAUUAAAAUUGAAAACAUGGUUCAUAUUUGUCCAUUGCAAUAUUCAGAUGUUCAAUGACAUGCAAAAGAUAUAUAUAUAUAUAGUCUAAUGACAGCUUGAAGUUUAUCUAAGCAAAUACACAUAUAUCACCCAAAACUUCCCACAGAAACUCAAAUUUAAGUACUAACAAGUUCAUAAAACAAGUUAAACGAAAGAUUACAUCAAGGGAAAAAGACAAUCAAGACAAGUAAAUAUACUGAUACUCCUAUUUAAUCGAACUCAAAGCGAUAACCGCGUGUCGUUCGUGCUUUAGGAAUGUCUGAAACUCUUUAUAACCACUCCUGUAAUGGUCCAGACUGAAUGUACGCUGUCUUAUUACCUCUCUUUUCUCUUCAGACACAUCUAAGAUCAUGUUCCUUUGCUUAUCCACUUCCUUCUCAAGGUCCUUUUUCUUCAAUUUCAACUCAUCUUCUAGAUUCUUUGUUAGCUGCAUAUGUUCCUUGCUUAAUUGUUGUAAAUGGUCCUCCAUUUGUCUGAUCCGUAAAUCACAAGAACGAACCUCGGCUACGAGAUUGUUUACUGUUGCAGUAACACAAUCUUUGUCUGUCAUAAGCAUAUCAUAUUUCAAUUUCAUUUUGUCAAGGUUCUUAUUCAAAGCUUCUAUGUGUAUACCUUUCUCAUUAAGUUCUGUCUUCAAUUGAUUGAUCUGACCUUGUAAGUUGGUUUCUUGUACAACAAGCAAGCUUUCGAUUUCCGAAUUUUUGGUCUCACGCUGCCUUAUUUUUUCCUCCAAUACACUUCCAAGCAGGGAAAGCGCUAUCGAGGGCGGAACUUGAGGGUGUUCUGGUUUUUGUUGAACCUUUUUUGUUUCAUGUCAAUGGCACCUUAUCCAAUUGGCAAUGGUGGGAAAACAAAGUUUGCCAUUUUGAUCCAUUUGUAAAGGCAAGUCACUUGGCAGUGGGGGUUUCGCAGUUGAGUGGCAAGGGCUACAGAUGAGGCAGGAAAUACUUUUAUUUAUAGUUGAGCUCCGUAAAUUCAACAAUAUAACAAUAUUAUUACAUUAUCAGUUCGGAUUUAAUCUUAUUUAUAACAUUGAUCCCUAAAGAAUUUAAAUCUUCUAUUAUCUUAUCCUUAAGAUUAUAAAAUUACACUAGUAAAAUACAAGUUACCAAAACUUCUACAAGUGCACAAUGUUUCAAGUAGGAUGAGCUUUCAGAAUGUUUCAAAAAUAGGACCAAUCUCGGUGGCUUAAGUAAACCUAAUUUAAUCAAAUGAUCUCUUUUUUAAGUUGUUAUGUGCACAUUGGAUUUUAUUAUAAUAAAAUAUAAAUUAAGUCAAUUAUAUUUCUAUAAUAAAAAUAGAUAGCGGAGAAGUUAAUAAAAGAAAGAAGAAUAAAAACAAAACAUUAUUUCUUCCUUAUGGUCUUGCAUGCCGAAAUGGUGAGGGAAGAAAAGGGAUUUUCGGCCAUUGUUGUUUAAGUUUGGAAGCUCAGGUUUUGGUUCUUUUUUAUUAAAUUUUAUAUUUUUGGAACUUUAAAAUCAUGUAGUAGUUUAUCUAUGUUGAAAAUUUGAGAGUUAAUGAUAUUUGUGAAAAUUAUCAUUGUUGAGAAAUUUAAAUUCUUGGUGUUAUUUUGUUGAUGUAUGUGUGUGUUGGAUGGUAGAUAUUGUAUAUGGUUGAUAUUUUAAGUUCUAUGGAAUUUGGCUCUUUUUGAAGUAAAUGAUUGAGGUCAAUUUGUUGAGUUGAAAUAUGUAGGAUAUGGCAUUUGAAAUUUAUGAUUCCUAUUUGUGGAGCAAGAUGAAUGUAUGAUUUGGUUAAGGUUGAAUGCCUUUGUAUGUGAUGUUUGAAAUGUGGUGCUAAUGAGGGCUAUGUUGGUUAGGUUCUUAGAAUGUAUGAAAUUGAUAUGUUUUGACUUGUUUUGAGGUGUAUUUGAUGACAUAUAUAGAGUGGUUAUAGGUUUGGUUUGGUAGCCAGAUAGGUGUGAAAUUUGCCCUGUUUUGGAAGCAAAAAUUGGUCCACGUGGCCUGGGGUAUAGGCUGUACAAAGCCUACUCACAAGGCCGUGUGUCUUAAUGAUUUUAGGUGCAGGGCAUACAUAGUCUAAGACACAACCAGCGACCAACAAAUGCACAUACGGGCAGUCACACGGCCAUGUGACCUUAAUUUGAAUAUACACACGGGCGAACACACGGUCGUGUGUCUGACUUUGAAUGUCCACACGGUCUGAGUUGUUACAUACAACCGUGUGUCCCUUAUUUUUCAAAAUUUUCAUCUUUUUUCUAACUUUUCCAUUUUGUUUCAAAUUGACCUCAGAAUAUUUCUAAUUUAUUUUUAGGGUCCCGUAAACUCAGUUUAAGGCCUGUAAGUGUAUGUUUAUUGUGAAUUGAUUGUGAUUUGAUUAAUUUUAAUUAUAUUGAAUAAUUGCUUUUAAGUAGUGUUAAAUGUUUGAAAUGUUAUCGUAAUACUCCGUGACUUCAAUUCGACGACAGGCACUCUUUAGGGGAGUUAAGUUUAAAUUGUCUUUUAUAAAUUUUAUAUAAAUGCAUGAAAAAUACAAAAAGAAACACUCUAUAAUAAUAUUUAUUAAUCAUUAAAAAUUAGUUUUUUAAUACUUUUCUUGAUCGAGUUAGUGUCGAGUUAACCAAUGAUACAGUCUAAAUUCAUGACUCCAAUUCAAUCAUACACUUAAAUAAUAAUAUAAAUGUUAUUGUUUAUGAGAAGAUCAAAAUAUCAAUGUUGAAUCCGAAAAUGAAAACAACGGUUAAGAUUUGAAAUAUAAGUAGAGAUGGUAAUGGAGUGGGGCGGAAUGGUUUUUUGUCCACCCGAACUGAUAUACCUCUAACAUAAUCCGAUUUUGAUCCAGCUCAAAAUUAAAUAUUAAUUUACUUAUCUUGAACCUGACUCGAAAAAUCAAAGUUAUACCCUAUUUCGAUUGAUAUACCAAUACUUUUAAUUGUUCUUAUAUUUUUUUUAUUAAAAUAGAAUAAUAGUUUUAAAGUUUUUAAUGAUAAAAUUACUUUUUUUUUGGUAGUUAUAGUUAUGGUAGGGAAAAUAUUUUUAUAAUUAUCAUAUAUUAUAAUCUAAUAUUAUAUAUAAAUGGUUAUUUUGGUAAUUACGGGGCAAAUUUUUCUAAAUCGGAGAAAGAAUUGUAUGAAAUUGUGAUUCCACAUUAUCUGUAUCAUUUUCUAAUACGAAAAUGACAAAUCAGAAUUUAAGAUUAAAUCCAUGUACUUUAAAAGUUAAAAUUUCAAUUAUUCUACUUCUACGAUUUAAAAAUUCAAUUCAAUUAUUAUAAUUUGUAAUUUUUUGUCAAAAAAUUUAACUUAACAUCAUAUGAAAUGUUAUAUGAUAGCAGUCUAAUCAACAUGCCAAAUUGGAAUAUUUUGAUGGAAAUUAUUAACAAUGUUAAAGACUGGAAUGAAAUUUUUAAAUUAGAAAAGUAAGAUAACUAAAUUCGAAAUUUUAGCUAAGUCAAAGGGACUAACAACAUAUUUUCACAAAAGAAAUUGAUAGACUAAUUUAGGUUUUAGACUAAGCAAAAUUUUCAUUUCCAACUAUAUUCAACUUGUAUAAAUAUGGGAGCUAGCAUAUAAGGAUAAUAACUUUUCAUGGAAUCUAAGGACAAAAAAUAAUUAACAUACUAGCAUGUAAGAAAAAGAAGAAAUAAGCAAAUCAUAUUAAUUUUAUUAUCAUAUAUUUACAGUUCAAACCUCACAAUUUUCAACCUUAAAACAUUACAUUGAUUAAACACACAACUAAAAAGUAUCAAGCUUUAAGAACAACCACAUACUUUUUUUGUGAAACUGAAGCCGCAAUUUUCAGCACCUACCACGGAUUGUUGAUUUUCUGCAUUCCCAAUGAGCAAUAUACUUGCAUUCUGGUUCUGCACAUUCAAGAAAAAGAUCUUCACAAGGUUUACCACAUUCAACACAUUCAGGGUAAUAAGGAAAUUUCUUGACAAAAGUGAGAGAGUGUGGAUGGUUUCCCUCAUUGUAGGUGCUCCCGAGUUUGAUGAAUGGAUAUUUUCCAAGAACGCAAUCCACGUGAGCAGAAGUGUCACAAGUUUCACAAUGAUAAAACCAGUUCUUUGAAUCCCUUUCCUCCUCGCAAAUGUCACAAUAAUGAUAUUUUGUAUAAUCAUUAAUCUUGUGAUAAGUGAGGUUAAGAGGAUGAUCAUCGCAAUUGUGUCCGACUCUAGUUGGUCGCAUAACACAAUUAAGGCAUAAACCAAAGUUACAAUCCUUACAACGAUAUGUGUUACUGAGAUCCGUCCCACAACCACUACACUGCUUUUCAAAAUUAUAAUAAUCAUAAUAGAAAAGAAGAAGGUGUUUAUGCCCUGGAAUUUUUACAGCAUAAGGGAGAGUUGCACAUCGAACGCACCUGUGAAUUCCACAUUCAUUACAUUUAUAAGAAAACCCAUUAGAAAGGUACGUGCAUUGCUCACAUUCGAACAUGCAGUCUGAAGUAAGGAUGAAGGGUUUUGAUCCAGAAAAAAGCUUUCCAACACAACGAUGAUCCCAAAUAAGGUCCAUCUUAGGUAAUUCAGCACAAGAUUUAUGAAGAAAGAAAUCACACCGCAAGCAAUGGUAGAACUUAGCGGAGAUCAAUAACAGGCACCCAUCACAACAUUUAUCACCAUGCUCGCUGAUUUUGUCACUUAACAUCAAGUAGUGCUUAUGCUUGCAAUGUUCUAUGAGUGUGGCUUCUCCAGCAUCAUUCGUCUCAAGAAACUUAGUGAUGGAGUUAACAGGUAUAUCAAGAGACUUGUCAUCUUCAUUUUCCUGUGAUACUAUGCAAUACCACUCCUUUUCUUUUAAUGCACAAUUCACAUGGAAUAUAACAUUACAAUCUGCACAGAAGUAACUACCGUGCUCUGUAUCGACAACUUCAUGGCACCGUAUGCAAUUCAAACUUUCAGAAUAUUCCUUGUGAAUGAAAUACGUGUGAAAAACACGAUGGACAUGGAACACGUGUUGGAUAAUGCUUGGCAAUGAAAUGCAUUUUUUAUGGACCAUAAUACUGCAUGUACAACAUGCAUAGGCAACAUGAUGUCCUUCGGUGCCACAAGCAUCACAAAUGAAUGGAAUUUGUCUCCAAAACAAGGUGAAUGGGUGUUGAUGACUUUUAUCUUCAAUAACUGGUAAUGGCGAUAAACAAUCAAUAUGAAUAGCCAAAUUACAAGUUGAGCAACCAUACAGAAAGCCUCUUUGUUGGGUUACUUGGCAUAUCUUGCAAGAAAGCUGUUCACUAUUAAAUUGCAGAAGAAGAGGAUGUUUGCGAUGGCACACAUGACCCAUUUUGGCAGGAAGCUCAGCACAUUUCUUAUGCAAAUUAAACCCACAAUCAAGAGAGAAGUAUGUAUAAAUUGCUAAUGGUUCCCAACACGCAAAGCACUUACCCAGGUUUCCACCAUCGUUCUUAGAGGAAAACGAUGGAUCCUCAAGGGCCACAUGCUCAAGCUCUUUCAAAUUUCUUUCAGCAAUAUUAAAUGUAAACAAAGCACAUUUAAUAUGAAAUUUCAAGCCACAAGAGCAAUGGUAAAUGAAUUUCUCACAUGUUUCAUCACAGAAAUCGCAAACGCACCUUGUGUAAGAAGAUGGUGGAUUCUGCAAAAGCAGGAGAGGAUGGUGGCGAUGAAAAGGAUGAUUAAGCUCCAAAGGUGCCUGGGCACACGUCUUGUGGAGGUAAAACCCACUGCACUCCACACAGCUAAAACAUGGAGCUGACACCUUCUCCCCACACCUUGAGCAAUCAACAACUCCAUUGCCAUUGCCAAGCAACUGCUCUUCAUUUAACAUCAACAGUGGAUGUUGAUGCCCGUAGUUCUUUAGCUCUUCCAUUUCUCCUUCCUCUCUGUAUCUUUCGAUGUGGUAGAGAAAGAAAAAUUGAAAUUGAAUAACUCAAAGAAAGCAGAAAAUUAGAAGGGAGAGAUUCCAAAUGUUUAUUUGUAGGAGUCUCUUUGAACUUGCUAUGGUACUUUGCUUCGACGGUGUGUUGCCUAUACCCAUAUAUGUUUCUUCUUUAUAAUUACUAUGAAUGGGAUGCAAUGGGUUUGAGUGUACUCUAAGUAAAUUAUCAAUUUUUUUCCUUUAUUCUUUGCUUUGUGGAUUAACUAAUUUUGUGGAUUAGAUAAUGAAUAUUCUGAUAUUGUUUGUGUGUAAAAAUAUAAGAUAAUAAGAUGAAAGGUAUUUUUAUAGGUUACGAGUUUUUCAAUUGAGAAUGAUAUCAAACAAUCAAAUUAUUCUAAAAAAAAUUGAAUUAAACCAUUUAUCUAAUCGAAAAUUAAAAGCCUAUUUAAUUUAUUCUGGUGAUUAGAAUAAAAAAAAUUUGAACAAAGCUAGAUAGAUUAAUUAUACAAUUACCGAGCCACCAAUCGGCUCUCUUAGGAUAAUCUGCUACAGAAAUUACUCUUAACUCCCUUGGUAUUUGCUCAACCACUUCAAUCCCAAUGGGGUCAUCGUUCAUUAAACUAACCAUAUAAUUAGAUGUGAAUGAGACAUCUUUAUUAUAGGAAUGAUCCACAUUCGCUGUCCUGCAGUACAAACUGUUGGAACACUGGCAGCAACAACCAAACAAUGAAACACUAAGAGCAUAAGCUCUUCAAACAGCAAGCAGAAACACAAAGCAUCAAGAGCAUAAGCUCUCGGUUAACAGGCAGAAAAAAGAAAAAGAAAGAACAAUGGCAGCAGCUCUUAGAAAAAGAACAAAACAGAGAACAAAGGAGGAAGAAACAAAAAUAAUUUACUUGCUCACAAACGUGCAGCCUAGUAACUUUAAAAACAUUUAUAGCCAACCACAUCAGUUAUUACUACCUAAUACCACUAAGUAGCCUAGUAACUUUAAAAACAUUGCUUGUACACAUGGAUAAGCUGACUUAUCAGCUCAACCAACCCAUCAAAACAUCAACAUCAAAGUUCAUUCUCAACCAAACUAAAUUACAGAAUCAUCAUAGUACCAUGCAUUUUAACAAAAACAUAAUAGCAGCAUGGUUGGCCAUUUUUAACACAAACUGAAUCUACAAGCUAAUGAUAGAAACAUAAACCAAAAUAUAUAGUACAUUGUUUGAUUAAAAUUGAAAACAUGGUUCAUAUUUGUCCACUGUAAUGUUCAGGUGUUCAAUAACAUGCAAAAGAUAUAUAUAUAUAGUCUAAUGACAGCUUCAAGUUUAUCUAAGCAAAUACGAAUAUAUCACCCAAAACUUCCCACAGAAACUCAAAUUUAAGUACUAAUAAGUUCAUAAAACAAGUUAAACGAAAGAUUACAUCAAGGGAAAAAGACAAUCCAGACAAGUAACUAUACCGAUACUCAUAUUUAAUCGAACUCAUAAAGCGAUAAACGCUUGUCGUUUGUGCUUGAGGAAUGUCUGAAGCUCUUUAUAACCACUCCUGUAAUGGUCCAGACUGAAUGUAAGCUGUCUUAUUACCUCUCUUUUCUCUUCUGACACAUCUAAGAUCAUGUUCCUUUGCUUAUCCACUUCCUUCUCAAGGUCCUUUAUCUUCAAUUUCAACUCAUCUUCUAGAUUCUUUGUUAGCUGCAUAUGUUCCUUGCUUAAUUGUUGUAAAUGGUCCUCCAUUUGUCUGAUCUGUAAAUCACGAGAACGAACCUCGGCCACGAGAUUGUUUACUGUUGCAGUAACACAAUCUUUGUCUUUCAUAAGCAUAUCAUAUUUCAAUUUCAUUUUGUCAAGGUUCUUAUUCAAAGCUUCUAUCUGUAUACCUUUCUCAUUAAGUUCUGUCUUCAAUUGAUUGAUCUGACCUUGUAAGUUGGUUUCUUGUACAGCAAGCAAGCUUUCGAUAACUGGUAAUGGCGACAGACAAUCAAUGUGAAUAGCCAACUCACAAGGUGAACAACCAUACAAAUAUCCUCUUCCUUGAGUUACUUGGCAUAUUUUGCAAGCACGCCGUUCACUAUUAAAUUGCAAAACAAGAGGAUGUUUGCGAUGACACGAAUGAUCCAUUUUGAGAGGAAGCUCAGCACACCUCUUAUGCAAUUUAAACCCACAAUCAAGAAAGAAGUAUGUAUACAUUGCUAAUGGUUCCCAGCACACAAAACACUUACCCAGGUUUCCACCAUCGUUUUUAGAGGAAAACGAUGGAUCCUCAAGGGCCACAUGCUCAAGCUCUUUCAAAUUUCUUUCAGCAAUAUUAAAUGUAAACAAAGCACAUUUAAUAUGAAAGUCCAAGCCACAAGAGCAAUGGUAAAUGAAUUUCUCACAUGCUUCGUUACAGAAAUCGCAAACGCACCUUGUGUAAGGAGUGUAAGGUGGAUUCUGCAGAAGCAGGAGAGGAUGGUGGCGAUGAAAAGGAUGAUUAAGCUCCAAAGGUGCCUCGGCACAUUUCUUGUGGAGGUAAAACCCACAGCACUCCACACAGCCAAAACAUGGAGCUGACACCUUCUCCCCACACCUUGAGCAAUCAACAACUCCAUUGCCAUUGCCAAGCAACUGCUCUUCAUUUAACAUCAACAGUGGAUGUUGAUGCCCAUAGUUCUUUAGCUCUUCCAUUUCUCCUUCCUCUCUGUCUCUUUCGAUGUGGUAGAGAAAGAAAAAUUGAAAUUGAAUAACUCAAAGAAAGCAGAAAAUUAGAAGGGGGAGAUUCCAAAUGUUAAUUGGUAGGAGUCUCUUUGAACUUGCUAUGGUACUUUGCUUCAACGGUGGGUUGCCUUUACCUAUAUAUGUUUCUUCUUUAUAAUUACUGUGAAUGGGAUGCAAUGGGUUUGAGUGUAUGCUAAGUACAUUAUCAAUUUUUUUUCCUUUAUUCUUUGCUUUGUGGAUUAGAUAAUGAAUAUUGAUGGCGAAAGUGUUCUGAUAUUGUUUGUGUAAAAAAAUAAGAUAAUAUGAUGAAGGUAUUUUGACUGGUUACGAAUUUUUCAAUUGAGAAUGAUAUCAAACAAUCAAAUUAUUCUAAAAAAAUUGAAUUAAAUCAUUUAUCUAAUCGAAAAUUAAAAACCUAUUUAAUUUAUUCUGGUAUUUAGAAUAGAAAAAUUUGAACAAAGCUAGAUAGAUUAAUUAUACAAUUACCGACCCACCAAUCGGCUCUCUUAGGAAUGAGAAUGAGACAUCUUUAUUAUAGGAAUGAUCCACAUUCACUGUCCUGCAGUACAAACUGAAUCUACAAGCUAACGAUAGAAACAUAAACCAAAAUAUAUAGUACAUUGUUUGAUUAAAAUUGAAAACAUGGUUCAUAUUUGUCCAUUGCAAUGUUCAGAUGUUCAAUAACAUGCAAAAGAUAUAUAUAUAUAUAGUCUAAUGACAGCUUCAAGUUUAUCUAAGCAAAUACGAAUAUAUCACCCAAAACUUCCCACAGAAGCUCAAAUUUAAGUACUAAUAAGUUCAUAAAACAAGUUAAACGAAAGAUUACAUCAAGGGAAAAAGACAAUCCAGACAAGUAACUAUACCGAUACUCAUAUUUAAUCGAACUCAUAAAGCGAUAACCGCUUGUCGUUUGUGCUUGAGGAAUGUCUGAAGCUCUUUAUAACCACUCCUGUAAUGGUCCAGACUGAAUGUAAGCUGUCUUAUUACCUCUCUUUUCUCUUCUGACACAUCUAAGAUCAUGUUCCUUUGCUUAUCCACUUCCUUCUCAAGGUCCUUUAUCUUCAAUUUCAACUCAUCUUCUAGAUUCUUUGUUAGCUGCAUAUGUUCCUUGCUUAAUUGUUGUAAAUGGUCCUCCAUUUGUCUGAUCUGUAAAUCACGAGAACGAACCUCGGCCACGAGAUUGUUUACUGUUGCAGUAACACAAUCUUUGUCUGUCAUAAGCAUAUCAUAUUUCAAUUUCAUUUUGUCAAGGUUCUUAUUCAAAGCUUCUAUGUGUAUACCUUUCUCAUUAAGUUCUGUCUUCAAUUGAUUGAUCUGACCUUGUAAAUUGGUUUCUUGUACAACAAGCAAGCUUUUGAUUUCCGAAUUUGUGGUCUCACGUUGCCUUAUUUUUUCCUCC